rnacentral:snoRNA from 1 species
UCUCGCAGUACUUCAUAGAAUCAUUUCUAUAGUAUAUGUCCUCUUCUGAGCUCCUUACCAGAGCCACAGAAUCUCCAACCUGGCUGAUGAGACGUAUCCUCGGCGCCCUGGAGUGAGAACUUUACUCCCGCUUCGGCGGGAGUGGCGAUGAUCUCGACCACACUUGGCUUUGGUUUCGGCCUGGCUGGUGGGGUGGGCGUUGAUGGACUUCUGACAGGC